rnacentral:rRNA from 1 species
GACAGAGGCCCCGAGCGUUAGGCGGAAUCACUGGGCUUAAAGCGUGUGUAGGCGGGCCCGUAAGUGGCUUGUGAAAUCCCACGGCUCAACCGUGGAACUGCUGGGCAUACUGCGGGUCUUGGGCCAACUAGGGGCAGCCGGAACAAGCGGUGGAGCGGUGAAAUGCGUAGAUAUCAGGAGGAACACCAAUGGCGAAGGCAGCACUCUGGGACGGUACUGACGCUGAGACGCGAAAGCGUGGGGAGCAAACAGG